ACUCCUACGGGAGGCAGCAGUGGGGAAUAUUGCACAAUGGGGGAAACCCUGAUGCAGCCAUGCCGCGUGUGUGAAGAAGGCCUUCGGGUUGUAAAGCACUUUCAGUAGGGAGGAAGGUAGUGUAGUUAACACCUGCACUAUUUGACGUUACCUACAGAAGAAGCACCGGCUAACUCCGUGCCAGCAGCCGCGGUAAUACGGAGGGUGCGAGCGUUAAUCGGAAUUACUGGGCGUAAAGCGCAUGCAGGCGGCCUGUUAAGUCAGAUGUGAAAGCCCGGGGCUUAACCUCGGAAUUGCAUUUGAAACUGGCAGGCUAGAGUCUUGUAGAGGGGGGUAGAAUUUCAGGUGAGCGGUGAAAUGCGUAGAGAUCUGAAGGAAUACCAGUGGCGAAGGCGGCCCCCUGGACAAAAGACUGACGCUCAGAUGCGAAAA
rnacentral:rRNA from 1 species